rnacentral:siRNA from 1 species
UAGUUGAACGGAUGGUUGUGA